CCUACGGGAGGCAGCAGUGGGGAAUAUUGCACAAUGGGGGGAACCCUGAUGCAGCAACGCCGCGUGGGUGAAGAAGUACUUCGGUAUGUAAAGCCCUGUCAGCAGGGAAGAAAAUGACGGUACCUGACCAAGAAGCCCCGGUUAACUACGUGCCAGCAGCCGCGGUAACACGUAGGGGGCAAGCGUUAUCAGGAUUUACUGGGUGUAAAGGGAGCGUAGACGGCAAGGCAAGUCUAGAGUGAAAGCCUGUGGCUCAACCACGGGACUGCCUUGGAAACUGUGUUGCUGGAGUGCAGGAGGGGUAGGCGGAAUUCCUGGUGUAGCGGUGAAAUGCAUAGAUAUUAGGAGGAACCCCGGUGGCGAAGGCAGCUUACUGGACUGUAACUGACGUUGAGGCUCGAAGGCGUGGGGAGCGAACAGGAUUAGAUACCCCAGUAGUC
rnacentral:rRNA from 1 species